CUUUGUCUCUUUGAAUUGGUUAUAGUGCCUGGAGUGGCCUGGCACUGUCCCUCCAUUCAGUGUUGCACCAUGUUUGUGCAGUAUGCCACAGAAUAAGAGUCCCUGGCCACCCACAGUCCGGCCCCUUCUGUAUGUGUAGCUAAGGCAGAGAUUACACACUUCCUUGUUGUCAUACCCAUUCAUACCAUCAGUUGGAGCUCUGACAGGUUAAAAACAGUCAGCUGACACUCUCAGCCAAUCACAGCUGCCCAUUGCCUCUCAGGGUAAUACUUCCUUAUUAGCCAAAGCAGCACAGAGGGGAUAGACUGCCGUGGAC
rnacentral:lncRNA from 1 species